rnacentral:rRNA from 1 species
GAUGAACGCUGGCGGCGUGCCUAAUACAUGCAAGUCGAGCGAACGGACGAGAAGCUUGCUUCUCGGAUGUUAGCGGCGGACGGGGGAGUAACACGUGGAAAACCUACUUUUAAGACUGGGAUACCUUCGGGAAACCGUAGCUAAUACCGGAUAAUAUUUUGAACCCCAGGGUCAAAAAGUGAAAGACGGUUUUGCUGUCACUUAUAGAUGGAUCCGCGCUGCAUUAGCUAGUUGGUAAGGUAACGGCUUACCAAGGCAACGAUGCAUAGCCGACCUGAGAGGGUGAUCGGCCACACUGGAACUGAGACACGGUCCAGACUCCUACGGGAGGCAGCAGUAGGGAAUCUUCCGCAAUGGGCGAAAGCCUGACGGAGCAACGCCGCGUGAGUGAUGAAGGUCUUCGGAUCGUAAAACUCUGUUAUUAGGGAAGAACAUAUGUGUAAGUAACUGUGCACAUCUUGACGGUACCUAAUCAGAAAGCCACGGCUAACUACGUG